GCGGCUUUAGCUCAGUUGGAUAGAGUGCCUGGCUACGAACCAGUAGGUCGAGGGUUCGAGUCCCCCAAGCCGCGCCA
rnacentral:tRNA from 2 species